AUGCACAGAUAUUGGAGGACAUGGCCAGAGAAUAUGCCAAGGCAGGUGGGUGUGGUCAACGGGCAUGUUUCUUCCCCGCUUCCAUGGAUUCACUGAACAUGCCGAGGGGAUUGUCUGAAGAGGACUGAAGGUUUGUCACUGGUCUCCAAUAUGCAGAUCUACUUCCCUUUGGCCUAGUGUCCAAAGGAGGUGAGGGGUGAGCAGUGGAGGAGGAAUCAACCUCAACAGCAACGGUACAGCAGAUGGGGGAGAGGCAGUAAAUGAGGCUCAGGUGCCAAUAAUCUGCAGGUGCCAACAAUGGAAACAGCCAAGCGAUUGCUUGCUAACUGCAAUCACCACAUAAAAUCAAGAAAAUUGUUUCAUGAAUUUACCCUGAUUACACAAAGUAUAAACAAGAAU